AAAGGAAUAGACGGGGACCCGCACAAGCAGCGGAGCAUGUGGUUUAAUUCGAAGCAACGCGAAGAACCUUACCAGAGCUUGACAUCCCUCUGAAAGGCCCUUAAUCGGGCCCGGCCUUCGGGACAGAGGAGACAGGUGGUGCAUGGUUGUCGUCAGCUCGUGUCGUGAGAUGUUGGGUUAAGUCCCGCAACGAGCGCAACCCUUGUCAUUAGUUGCCAUCAGGUAAAGCUGGGAACUCUAAUGAGACCGCCGGGGAUAACUCGGAGGAAGGUGGGGAUGACGUCAAAUCAUCAUGCCCCUUAUGUUCUGGGCUACACACGUGCUACAAUGGCCGGUACAAAGAGAAGCGAACCUGCGAAGGGGAGCAAAACUUCAAAACCGGUCCCAGUUCGGAUUGCAGGCUGAAACCCGCCUGCAUGAAGUCGGAGUUGCUAGUAAUCGUGAAUCAGAAUGUCACGGUGAAUGCGUUCCCGGGUCUUGUACACACCGCCCGU
rnacentral:rRNA from 1 species